GCAGCAGAUGAAGCUGUCAAAGUCGAUGUUCAUGUUCUUGUCAGCGUAGCGCAUCGUGAUGAUGUCAUAGAGCUGGUUGUUCAGCCGAAACCCUGCAGGGGGGCCAGAAAUGGGUUUGAUUGUUCCUUAUACAACCAUACGGAAUCCUCAGCUUAAAUGAGAGCAAGGUACAUAAUGAGGUCUGGUUUCCCUACACAAGCUUUUGCACUGUGGAGCUAGGAAGAGCAGCGCUACCUGCCAGCUUUUGAUCUUGUCCCAGAGGUGUCGGAACUCAUCAAAGUUGAUCUUCCCUGAGCCAUCUGUCUGCGAUGCAAGCAUUCAGAAAUGCUCUGUUCCAGAAUGAGUGUAUUUAUACUGAAGUGCAAAAAUAACAAAAAAGAGCUACACCUGAAAUUUCCCAUGCAUCACUCCUGCCAGCAGGUUUAACUACUUCAGCAUGUCUCCUGGUCACACACUGGAAAACCUGCACUAGAAGUUCAACUUCAGCCUUUCUCAAUAAAGAGAACUGCAAUAGUCUUCUAGACACAUAAUAGAUGUGUAUAGUUCGUUUUGAGAGAUUAUGACAGAAAGAGCUCGUUCAAGUCAGAGACGGUCUGCAGCAGCUCUCUGGGGCUUCCCUACAAAGAAAGCUUGGCUCACAUGUUACUUAUAAACCUCCACUUGUUCACUACAGCCCUGCUGGCCACUGAUGAGACACAUUUUCUACACUGAGAAAAAUACCAUACUUCCUCUCUAAUUGUGUACCUUUUUCAACAAAGACAGAAGCCUGCUGUCUGCCAGUGUGUACAACAGGGGCUUCUACAUCUACAUAUGUGCAGACAGAUUCUAUAAUGCAAACCACUGUAAACUCAAAAUACUCAAUCCCCUUCAAAAAUAUCUUUUUAAAACAAAACAAAAAAAUGUAGAAGUAUUUUAUUUGCAUAAUAAUGGGUAAAGGUAGAUGUGCUGGAAAAGGAUAUCUCUAAGGAUAAAUUCAAAGGCACAGUAAUAUCAGAGAAACUGAUGACGUUUAUCUCUUGCUGAAAUUACUUCUGCAUUCAGUUCUACUGUGACAUUUCCUUAUAAGUGAGCAGCAGAACAAAAGCUGAUUUUCUAACUUCAUUUCUGUUCCAAACUACUAGCUUCUUUACUACAAGAAAAAUGAUAAAAUAUACUACAGAGAUAAAUAAGCAAGUUAUCAAUGUGAAAAAAGCUUUUAUAAUACCAACAAUACAGCAAUAACAAGUACUUUCAUGAGCAGCAAAAUUGCCUUUAUGUUUUUUGGCCAGCAACUUCAGAGCCUAUUAAGCACAGUUUUAAGUGUGGUUUGGAACACCAGACAAUGUUGUUUAUUAUGAGAAUUUUGGAGUCCACAGUUCUUUAAAAACAUUUUUUUGAGUAUGUGAGUUAGCGUGUCCGAGGUGUCAUUUAGUAAGCAUGAUAUUUAGUUUUCUCUAGUAACCUUAUCAAGGCUUGCAGAAAGCAAAAUAGAAUUUAGACUUCAAACUAUUUAAGUAAUCACAAAUGUAUGAGACAGUGAUUUAAGUUCCCUCAUCUAAGUGGCUUCCUAAGGAUAAUCACUAGCCUCCUGACUUACGUG